rnacentral:rRNA from 1 species
UACGAAGGUCCCAAGCGUUAUCCGGAUUUAUUGGGUUUAAAGGGUGCGUAGGCGGGUUAUUAAGUCAGUGGUGAAAGCCUACAGCUUAACUGUAGAAUUGCCAUUGAUACUGAUGAUCUUGAGUAUGAUUGAGGUGGGCGGAAUGUGUCAUGUAGCGGUGAAAUGCUUAGAUAUGACACAGAACACCGAUUGCGAAGGCAGCUCACUAAGCCAUAACUGACGCUGAUGCACGAAAAGCGUGGGGAGCAAACAGG